rnacentral:rRNA from 1 species
GAGUUUGAUCCUGGCUCAGAGUGAACGCUGGCGGCAGGCCUAACACAUGCAAGUCGAGCGGUAACAGGAAUCAGCUUGCUGAUUCGCUGACGAGCGGCGGACGGGUGAGUAAUGUCUGGGAAACUGCCUGAUGGAGGGGGAUAACUACUGGAAACGGUAGCUAAUACCGCAUAACGUCUUCGGACCAAAGUGGGGGACCUUCGGGCCUCAUGCCAUCAGAUGUGCCCAGAUGGGAUUAGCUAGUAGGUGGGGUAACGGCUCACCUAGGCGACGAUCCCUAGCUGGUCUGAGAGGAUGACCAGCCACACUGGAACUGAGACACGGUCCAGACUCCUACGGGAGGCAGCAGUGGGGAAUAUUGCACAAUGGGCGCAAGCCUGAUGCAGCCAUGCCGCGUGUAUGAAGAAGGCC